rnacentral:RNase_P_RNA from 2 species
UCGGCAAGCCAGACGAUAGCUCUUCACUGUUAAAACAGAUGGAGGGAGGAAAGUCCGGACACCCGGUCCGAUAUUAUGUCGGACCAAUUGUACGGGUUAACGACCCGCCGCAGCAAUGUGAGAGGUGCGAACAGAGACGCUUCGGUUUGAAAAAAUCGGAGAAGCCCUAUCCUAACGUAGAAGGCUUAAUCCUGCCAUAGGGAUAAGAAAGCAGGAAUGAAACGGCUAAAUCCUUAUUGGGUGCAAGGCUGUACCGAGCACUCAACGCUUUGAGUACUCGGGAUGCCGCCAGAGCCAGAGAGCAAUUGAUGGCCCAGAUAAAUUGUCGUUAUCCGUCCGCCAGUUGGCGGAUGGAACAGAAUCCGGCUUAUGGCUUGCCGGUUAG